GUUUGGGAAUGCAGCUCAAAGUGGGUGGUAAAUUCCAUCUAAGGCUAAAUAUAAGUGAGAGACCGAUAGCAAACAAGUACCGUGAGGGAAAGAUGAAAAGAACUUUGAAAAUAGAGUUAACAGUACGUGAAAUUGCUGAAAGGGAAACGUUUGAAGUUAGUAUUGUAUUCGUUGGAUCAGCUUCGCAAGAGGUCUAUUCCGAUGAUAAGCAAGUCAACAUCAGUCUAUGAGUGUUGGAAAAAGGGCUCGAGAAUGUAGCAAUUUAAUUGUGUUAUAGCUUGGGACUUUGAAUACAACGCUCUUGAUUGAGGAACGCGUAGUAAGCUUUGAGCGGGUUCGAAAGAGCCUCCUUACUAUGGAUGUUGGUGAAAUAACUUUAAGCGACCCGUCUUGAAACACGGACCAAGGAGUCUAACAUGCUUGCGAGUAUUAGGGCGUUGAAACCCGAAUGCGUAAUGAAAGUGAUUUCAGAUGUGAUCCGCAAGGUGCAACAUCGGCCGGUCCUGAUUAUUUAUAUGACGGUACUGAGCAAGAGCAAGUAUGUUAGGACCCGAAAGAUGGUGAACUAUGCCUGGAUAGGG
rnacentral:rRNA from 1 species